rnacentral:tRNA from 1 species
GAGCCAUUAGCUCAGUUGGUAGAGCAUCUGACUUUUAAUCAGAGGGUCGAAGGUUCGAGUCAUUCCUGGCUCA